UACCCUGGGCCAGACAGGAGCCCACUGCCCUGAAGGGUGAAUCCCACGACUGGCAGCAUUCACCACAAGCUGACUGAAGAGACCUUGGGCCUUAUGUGAAUAUUGGCGGUAGCCUGGCAGUACUCCUCAUGGGUCUGUAGUGGUGGUGGCAGUGGGGUGAAGCUCCUGUGCCUGUGGAAAGUGGAGGCAAGAGUAGGAAGGACUGUCUCACAGUUUGAGUGCCAGCCACAGAACAACAGAACACCACAUAGGUUUCUAAGGUGUUUGAACAGUCCCUAGCGCCUGGAUGGCAUCUCUGGACCUGCCUGGAGUCUGGGGAAACUCACUGCCCUGAAGUGAAGGACACAAGCCUG
rnacentral:lncRNA from 1 species